rnacentral:rRNA from 1 species
AUUGAACGCUGGCGGCAUGCCUUACACAUGCAAGUCGAACGGCAGCACGGGUGCUUGCACCUGGUGACGAGUGGCGAACGGGUGAGUAAUACAUCGGAACGUACCUUAUCGUGGGGGAUAACGCAGCGAAAGUUGCGCUAAUACCGCAUACGCCCUGAGGGGGAAAGCGGGGGACCGUAAGGCCUCGCGCGAUUAGAGCGGCCGAUGUCUGAUUAGCUUGUUGGUGAGGUAAAAGCUCACCAAGGCGAUGAUCAGUAGCUGGUCUGAGAGGACGAUCAGCCGCACUGAGACUUGGACACGGCCCAGACGCCUACGGGAGGCAGCAGUGGGGAAUUUUGGACAAUGGGGACAACCCUGACCCAGCAAUGCCGCGUGAGUGAAGAAGGCCUUCGGGUUGUAAAGCUCUUUUGUCAGGGAAGAAACAGCAGCUCUAACACAGUCUGCGAAUGACGGUACCUGAAGAAUAAGCACCGGCUAACUACGUGCCAGCCGCCGCGGUAA